UAAAUGGUUUUAAUAGCGACGUAUAUCAGACAUUUUGCCUGAAUUACUUAUCUAGUGUGCAUAUCGAAAAAAGUAAGAGAGAUUGGAAGAGAAAAGGAAAAUGGAGGACCUUGAAAUCGAGAUUGGGAACAGCCGGUAAAGGAGGAAACAGUACGCAACAGAAAGCGAGUCGGAAAGAUGGAGUGAAGCAUGAGCAGAAAGAAGAAAGGGCGAGAAAAGCAAAACAGAAACGAAAAGAAAAAGGGAGAAAAAGAGAGAGAGAGAGAAAGAGAGAGAGAAAGAGGCUCGUCUGGGCCUUGGCGCGUUUCAGUUGCCUCGCGUUCGAGGGCGUUUUUCGCCCGUGAGUUGUUCUUUGCUUAUUACAGUGUGUGCACUGGGCUCGAGCUCGCUAAAGUGGUUUGCUGCUAAUUAACUGCGUUAUUUUUACAACUCUCUUGCUCCCAUCCACCUCCCACGUCUCUUUCCGCCCCCUUCCCUUUUUCCUUCCCCUAACUGUUCUCCCACAUUUGCAAUGGGGUUCAAUAAUUCUGUGGCCGCAACGCCCUCCUCUCUCUCUCUCUCUCUCACUCUUAUUCUCUCAUUUUGUUUUCACGUUUCUUAUAAUGCAUUUUUUCAUCUGUAUGCUUCUGAUUUUACUAUGAUGAAAUAUGAUUAUAUUCGUUAUCUAUUGUUAAAAAAAUUAUUGGUAUAUUUAAUAUA